GAAAAGCCUAGUGGACAUGGCAUCUGCCCGGUAAGCGGAACACUGUGGGUUCGAUUCCCAUCCCUGGACA